rnacentral:lncRNA from 1 species
GGCACCUUUCAAUUUUCUAUUGAAGAAAGAAAAACAGUUAACGAUAUCAUCUCAUGAUCACAUGAACAAAUAAACAAACAAACAGAUCAAAAUUUAUGUACAAAAGGCAGAAACAGAAACAGGAGUAGAGGAUAUUUAGAUCAAAGUUUAGUACUUCACAGAGAUCCAACUCAGCCAACCAGAAGGACCAAAUAUCACUGUUAAUCUGGACAGUGGGUGCUCCUUUACCUCACCAAAUACC